rnacentral:rRNA from 1 species
AGAAUCAACGCUGGCGGCGUGCCUAACACAUGCAAGUCGAACGAGAAAGUGGAGCAAUCCAUGAGUAAAGUGGCGCACGGGUGAGUAACACGUGACUAACCUACCCUUGAGUGGGGGAUAACCUAGAGAAAUCUGGGCUAAUACCGCAUAAUACCUUCGGGUCAAAGGAGCAAUUCGCUUAAGGAGGGGGUCGCGGCCGAUUAGUUAGUUGGCGGGGUAAUGGCCCACCAAGACUAUGAUCGGUAUCCGGCCUGAGAGGGCGCACGGACACACUGGAACUGAAACACGGUCCAGACUCCUACGGGAGGCAGCAGUGGGAAUUUUGCGCAAUGGGGGAAACCCUGGACGCAGCAACGCCGCGUGGAGGAUGAAGUCCCUUGGGACGUAAACUCCUUUCGAUCGGGACGAUAAUGACGGUACCGAGAGAAGAAGCCCGGCUAACUUCGCGCCAGCAGCCGC